rnacentral:snRNA from 1 species
GGAUGCGAGGGUGAUGUGGCUGCGACAUCUGUCAUCCCAUUGAUCACCAGGUUUGAUUUGGCUGAUCUGGCUGUUUAGGCAGGUGUCUCCUUCCUCCCUCACCACUCCAUGUGUGUCCCUUCCCAAGCUAUCCACUGGGUCAAAGAGGAAGAAGGCCUCCUCAAAUAGAGAUGGACCAGUCAGUCUUCAUUCUUUGCUGCCCUGCUGGAACCUCCAAACAAGCUCUCAGGGACAUAUGCAGGAUAUAAGUAGAUGACAGGACUUACAUAAGAUCAUAGAACAACCCUA